rnacentral:lncRNA from 1 species
AAACUCCGAAUUCUAAUAUGACGUCCUUAUUACGCUUUGUAAACAAAGCCGUGUUCUAAUGAGCACAAAAUAUGUUUGACACAUGCGCACAAACUUACUGUUUAUAUUAACGUUAUUUUCCAUCGUUAUCCUUUAAAAUAUAUACAUUUAUGCAGCUAACAUAAACUUUUAUUAUAUAUUUUUAUGAAACAACAUAUAUUUACCCUGCUCGUAGUUUUUAAACUUAUCAAAUAUGAAAUGCAAUGCACAGGAGGAAACGGGAACAGCCAAACAUUUUUACGGUAAUUUCGUACGCUUUGACCUAUAAAAAUAC